rnacentral:rRNA from 1 species
CUAAGAAUAUUCCGCAAUGGACGGAAGUCUGACGGAGCGACGCCGCGUGGAUGACGAAGGCCGAAAGGUUGUAAAGUUCUUUUGCUGGAGAAGAAUAACCGCAGGAGGGAAUGCCUGUGGGAUGACAAGAACCGGCGAAUAAGCCCCGGCCAACUACGUGCCAGCAGCCGCGGUAACACGUAGGGGGCGAGCGUUGUUCGGAAUUACUGGGCGUAAAGGGCAUGUAGGCGGCUUGGAAAGCCUGGCGUGAAAGUCUGCAGCCUAACUGCAGGGGUGCGCUGGGAACUGCUGAGCUUGAGUGACGGAGAGGGAGCUGGAAUUCCUGGUGUAGGGGUGAAAUCUGUAGAUAUCAGGAAGAACACCGAUGGCGAAGGCAAGCUCCUGGCCGAUGACUGACGCUGAGGUGCGAAAGUGUGGGGAUCAAAACAGGAUUAGAUACCCUGGUAGUCCACACAGUCAACGAUGUGCACUAGGUGCUGGGGCGGUAGCUUCGGUGCCGGAGCGAACGUGGUGAAGUGCACCGCCUGGGGAGUAUGCUCGCAAGGGUGAAACUC